rnacentral:tRNA from 1 species
UGGUUCAGUUGGUAGAGCAUGGUGUUUGCAACACCAGGGUUGUGGGUUCGUUUCCCAC